rnacentral:rRNA from 1 species
AGUGAACGCUGGCGGUAGGCCUAACACAUGCAAGUCGAACGGCAGCACAGUAAGAGCUUGCUCUUACGGGUGGCGAGUGGCGGACGGGUGAGGAAUACAUCGGAAUCUACUUUUUCGUGGGGGAUAACGUAGGGAAACUUACGCUAAUACCGCAUACGACCUACGGGUGAAAGCAGGGGAUCUUCGGACCUUGUGCGAUUGAAUGAGCCGAUGUCGGAUUAGCUAGUUGGCGGGGUAAAGGCCCACCAAGGCGACGAUCCGUAGCUGGUCUGAGAGGAUGAUCAGCCACACUGGAACUGAGACACGGUCCAGACUCCUACGGGAGGCAGCAGUGGGGAAUAUUGGACAAUGGGCGCAAGCCUGAUCCAGCCAUACCGCGUGGGUGAAGAAGGCCUUCGGGUUGUAAAGCCCUUUUGUUGGGAAAGAAAAGCAGCAGGUUAAUACCCCGCUGUUCUGACGGUACCCAAAGAAUAAGCACCGGCUAACUUCGU